rnacentral:rRNA from 1 species
UACGUAGGGUGCAAGCGUUAAUCGGAAUUACUGGGCGUAAAGCGUGCGCAGGCGGUCUUGCAAGACAGAUGUGAAAUCCCCGGGCUCAACCCGUGGGAACUGGACAUUUGUGACUGCAAGGCUGGAGUGCGGCAGAGGGGGAUGGAAUUCCGCGUGUAGCAGUGAAAUGCGUAGAUAUGCGGAGGAACACCGAUGGCGAAGGCAAUCCCCUGGGCCUGCACUGACGCUCAUGCACGAAAGCGUGGGGAGCAAACAGG